rnacentral:tRNA from 2 species
AGUAAAAUGGCUGAGAAUUAGGCGAUAAAUUGUAAAUUUAUUUACGAAAGUGUUUUCUUUUACUA